AUCAGGGCUGGCCCUAGAGCCUGGCUGCUGAUUCUGCAGACAAGUGUACAGAUAUAUAGGCACAAAAUAUGCCCACAUGAAUGAAAAAGAUGGCUGCAACCUCCUCAGGUUUAUUUCUGAUCCAUUGAGUGGGAGUGUCUGUUCCUGCCAUUUACCAGCUGUUGUAAGAGAAUGAAAAGUUCCAUCUGAGACUGUGAUCGUUUAAUGGCAAUGGCCUCUGCAGUGCAGCUCCAUGGAGGGACAGGGAGAAUUCUCCAGGAGAGAGAGGAGGAGGAGAAGGAAGAGAAUACCAAAACUUGAUCAGAUGUUACAGAGACAGAAGAAAGGCCACAGAAAUCUGGUGCUCAAAUUAAACGGGAACUGCAGUAGUAUAUAACUCAUCCCAAAUUGUUGGAGAAUGAGGAGCUCUAAAUUAAUGCAUUUUUAGACAAUUGAAAGCAAAUGCUUUUUCCCAAAAAUGGAAACUUCUAACAGAACAUUCAUCAUUGUUCCAUGCUGUAAUGGAGCUGUGUCCAGAGGAGGCAUGUAGAGCUAUUUGCCCUGAAACUAAGAAUCUAACUGA